rnacentral:lncRNA from 1 species
AUUUUCCCCAUACAUCAGGAUAUGAAGAUAGAUUUUUGAAAAUAAAAGGGAGAAGCCAUUGGAGAAAUAUAUAUAUAUAUAACCCUUUUUGCAUAAUCUAAAGAUGUUUUUUGAGAAAAUAGAUGAAAUGCCAUAAAAAGGACAAGCUUUCAGAGCUAUUAAUUAUAUGUAAUUAUAUGUACCACUAACAUGAUGGAUGUGGAGGUUAAUUUAGAUUCUACCUCCAUGUUAACUAUAAUUAAUAAAAUUGAUAAAAUUCAGGAAAACUGAGAGAACAUAUGCAUGAAGAAUUCAUUGCUCAAAUAUAUUUUCCAAAGACCUGAUGCCUGGUCAUGUAAUUUGAAUGUUCCACAAUGGAAAAACUUAGAUGACCUAGUGGUAGAACAAACUUCAAGAGCAUUAAUAAUUUCUUCCAAAUUGUAAAACAUAUAAUAGAUUCUAAUAACUUUAUUAAAGACCAAUGUGUUCUGUAUUUUGACUCAAUUAUGAAUUAGGUGAGAGUGGAAAAAUAUUUACCUGAAGAAUGAGAAGGGACAAAACAUAGGCAGCUUUUAUCUAAUAGUCUUGCAAAUGUGAAAAGAGUGGGGAAAACAAUGGUAAGUAUUCAAAGUGAAAUCCGAUAGACUAUUGAGGCUUUCUAAACAGAGCAAAUGAGAAUGAAAAGAAUAUUGGCAAGUCCUGAAAGAAUUAUACACAAUGUUGUUUUUUCCAAGGCAAUGACUCUAGUGUUUAAGGAAUAAUCACAAGAAGUUCUAUGUUAUGUUGUAAGAUUAGUUCUAUUAAAGAAAGUACAUAAAAUAAACACUUUGGGUUACAUUAUUCAAUAUUUUACUGGACCAUGUGACAUAUCACACAAGGAUCAUCUAGCUUGUUAAUGAAGUAUUUAAAGAAAAAUAAAACCAACUUAAAUGU